rnacentral:tRNA from 1 species
CCUCCUUUCUAAGGAAAUCGAAAAAUAUGAAAACAAUUAUUUUCGAUUUAAAAAAAAUCGGUUAAUGUGACCGUCCUCAUUUCUCUUCUUUUAUAAUGUCUCUGAGUAAAAAUGUGAAGGGCCGGUAGCUCAGGUGGUUAGAGCGCACCCCUGAUAAGGGUGAGGUCGGAAGUUCGAGUCUUCCUCGGCCCACCAAUAUUAUGGGGGAUUAGCUCAGCUGGGAGAGCGCCUGAUUUGCAUUCAGGAGGUCAGCGGUUCGAUCCCGCUAUCCUCCACCAACGAAUUGAGACAUUUAGCUUUUUAAAUGGUGAAUAUUAUUAUUAUCAAUAUCUAUAUCCGAUUGUUUUCAGAUAUUUUUUUGAAAACAAUCAAAACAAAAAUUUGAAUUUUACACAGAAAAUUUUUUUCUGUGCAUAAAUCAAGCGUUUAAGGGCGUUUGGCGGAUGCCUGGGCACUGAAAGACGAUGAAGGA